GCCUAGGCUGCGUUAGGGAUUGUAGCGGCAUCCUUUUUUGUUUUUCUCAAAAAAGAUAUAGCGGAAAGCCCGACCCCUU
rnacentral:sRNA from 1 species